UAGACGUUAGUUUAAAUAAAACAAAUGAUUUCGGCUCAUUAGACUUCAGGAUUCUGAAACUUCUUU
rnacentral:tRNA from 1 species